rnacentral:lncRNA from 1 species
CAUGCUUAUUGGUCAUUUAUAUAUCAUCCUUGGAGAAAUGUCUGUUAAAGUCCCAUGCACAUUUUUGAAUUGGGCUAUUUAUUUUUUGUUGUUAUUGAGUUGUAGGGAUUCUUUAUAUAUGCUGGAUACUAACCCCUUAUCAGACAUAUGAUUUAUAAAAUUUUCUCCCAAUCCAUAUGUUGCCUUUUCACUCUGUUGGUCUUUUAUGCACAGAAUUUUUAGGUUUGGAUGUAGUCCUAUUUAUCUAUUUUUUAAUAUAUUAUCUGUGUUUUUGGUGUCAUAUUUAAGAAAUCAUUGCCAGUGUCAUGAAGUUUUCUGCCUAUGUUUUCUUCUAGGAAUUUUAUUGGUUUGGGUUUUAUAUUCAGUUCUUCAAUCUAUUUUGGGUUCAUUUUUGUAUAUGCUGUAAGGUAAGGGUCAAAAUUUACUCUUUUGCAUGUGGAUAUCCAAUUUUCCCAGUAUCUUUUAUCGAAAAGACUGUUUUUGCCCCUAUUGUGUGGUCUUGGCACCCUUGUUGAAGAUUGUUUGACCACAUGCUUGAGUGUUCCUUUCAAGGUUCUCUAUUUUAUGUUGAUGCAUGUGAUUGUCUUUACUACAGUAUUUUGCUUAUUAACUUUGAAAUAUAUAUANAUAUAUAAUUUUUUUGGCCUUGCCUACAAUAUGUGGAAAUUCCCUGGCCAGGGACUGAGCCCAUACCACAGCAGUGACCCAAGCUACUGCAGUGAAAACACUAGAUCCUUAACCUACUGAACCCAUGGAGGGAACUCCAUGUUUUGAAAUCAGGAAGCGUGAGACCUCCUUUUGUUCUUCAAGAUUGUUUUGGUUAUUCAGGCUCCUUUGAUAUGCCUAUGAAUAUUUUGAUUUAUUUCCUUUUUCUGCAAAAGUACUACUAGGAUUUUGAUAGUGAUUGCAGCAAAUCUAUAGAUCACUUUGGGUAACAUUGUCAAAUUACUUUAAAAUACAAAAAUUUGAUUAUAUAUAUCUUAUGAGAUAUGGUCUAAGGACAGAAAAAGAGUGCAAAUAAACCUUGGUUUGGUUUUGUAAUCAUCUUGUUAUGAUAAUAUUUAUCUCUUUAUCCUGGAACUAGCAUAUAUAAUAGGAUAAAGCAAAUAAGUGUUUAUGUUAGCUUUGUUAGAAACUAAGAUUUUCUUUCUUUUUUUUUUUUUUUUUUUUUUUUAGGGCUUUUCCCCUGCCAUAUGGAGGUUCCCAGGCUAGGGGUCCAAUUGGAGCUGUAGCUGCUGGCCUACACCACAGCUACAGCAAUGCAGGAUCUGGCAUUAUCAAAACUGUGGCUCUGGUUACCGCUGUGGCAUGGGUUCAAUCCCUAGCCCAGGAACUUCUGCAUGAUGUAGAGGAGGCCAAACAAACAAAUGCUGUAAUCUUAAAUUGAGGGAAAUCAGUAUAAACUGAACAUUAAAAAAGUAAAAACAUUUUUCCUAGACUUAUCCACUGAGGAAGUCUAGAAAUCAACCCAGUUGCCAUGAGACCCCUCGUCAUAAUUGUAGUAGUCUCCAUAUACCAUUUCCCACUAAAAGUUUCUUGGAGAAAUUGCUAAGCUCAAGUUUGGCAGGAAAUUAAAAUGAUAGUUUGGGACACUUUGUCAUACCAGAACACAAGGAAACUAAGAUUACUAUGCUAUGUUUGACAUACACCAACUCAAAGGGGUCUCUUUUGGCUAAAGAUGGGAUAAUUUAAGUAUCAGAAAAACCCACAUUAAAUAUAUUAAUGUUCAUGAAUUCAUAAUGACAUUUAAAAAACCAACUCAUUGAUUACCUUUUGAGGAGGCCAGGAAACCAACUUAUUAAGAAAACUCCUAAGUGAAGAAAUCAAGCACCUACGCUGCCUUUCUGGCAUAAAAUUCACCUUGGGGUCACCAAAUAGGAAAGAGUAUUUCCUUAUAGAAGGAUUCCAACUUGUGAAUGUAGGAGGAAUGAUGGGAUUGAUAUUUCACCACUUUUCAAUUUCUAAUAAAAUAAUGGAUCUAGGCCAUGACCAUGAGUAGCUAGCUGCUAAAACCAUCUGAUCAAAAACUGAUGGGAGCUUGGUAAUGGAUGGCUCGGUCUAAGAACACCUGAAACCACUGACCAAUCUUGAUAUCACCCAAAGAAAAACAACCAGUAUUGCUCAGCUGCAGUAUCACAGGCAAUGAGUUUUAUCUGAGGUGGGAUUAUUGGUACUAAAAAAACACCAAAAACAAAAAAAA